UCCAAGGUGAACAGCCUCUGGU
rnacentral:siRNA from 1 species